GUCUCGUCGUUGCCUCGAUUAGGGGGCGGGUACGUCCUCCUCUCACUUCGAUCGGCCGGUCGAGCGAGUCUCAGUCGGCCGUGGCGGUGCGUUGAUGCCUGCUUGUGUGGCCGAAAGAGACUCAUUGGGCCUGCUCC
ensembl:miRNA mir-8192 ncRNA